rnacentral:lncRNA from 1 species
CCAUCCCUGAGGGAAACUUCAGGGAGAAGCUCCACUUCUGCUGGAAUCAGGAAUGGUGAGGACAGCCAGGCCCUGAACGGGAAAUCCUCCUGGGAGGCUGUGACACAGCGUGGGGACAGUGACAAAGCUCUGAAGGAAAAGCCUGAGCCCUUCCCAUGGGAUGAGGCCCCCAGAGCCACCGUGGCUUCCACGAAUGGAAGCUUCCCUGAGCACGCAGAAGCCAACAAUGGGUUUUACCCACCCAAGUCCAGCUCUGACUCCAGGGACAGACCUGGGGAUGCUGCGGACGAGCUGCUCCAUCACUACGAGCUCCCUCCUGCCCUGGAUGUUGGAAGGUCCAGCUUGCAGCCUGAUGUCCCUUUUCCUCCCACUGAGAGAGCCCCUGUGCACAGAGAGGACACGGAAUAUUCCUUUAAAAGGUCUGUCCUGGGGUACGAGGAGAGGAGCAGCUCCACCAGUCCUGAGGGCCCAGCACAGCUCCAGCCCCACUGGAACGAGUUUUCAGGCUCAACCAGCCUCACUGAGAGGGGCCAAGGACCUGCUGGCCAUGGUGCCCACCCAGAGCUGCCCAGGGCACAGGAACCCACAGCCCAUGAGCCUGGCAUGGUCGGGUCCAGCUCUGGACCUGGAGGAAGCAGCACCCCUGCUCCAGAGACCCCACGUGCCGACGAGUCGGAGCCACGCCGGGACAGGGUCACUCCAGCCCACGAGGAUCAAACCAUCCCCACCACAGAUGGUCCCCAGGACUGGAGGCACAGUGAGCCUGGCCCAGGGGCAGCCAGGUCUGACUUCAGCUCCAGAGAGAGUGUUCUCAGUGCCCAUGAGAGCCAGCACCCUGUGCCCCUGUACCAGGACCCCCAGCCCUUCUUUGGGACAGCUCCCAGCCACAGGAUCCCGGCCUACGUGGACAGCCAAGUGUUCAGCACCAGGAGACCCACCCUGGAUCCCGAAGGGAGAGUUUCCGACGGUGCCAGGGGGCACGGGGAGUUCACCCCCCCGGCUGGGCGCCAUGACUCCCUUCCCAGGGAUCCCAGCAUGUCCAUGGCCCAGAGAAGCCACAGGGUGCCGUUCUACAUGGACAGCCUGAACUACAACAGCACCAGGCUCCUCUCCAGUUCCAGUGAGAGGCUCUCCAGCCCCGGGUUCCAUCCUGACUCCAGCACUGCCGGGUAAAGAGCCAAGGGGGCACAGAACCAUCCUGGGAGGGGGGGCAUCCCAGCCUUUGGCACCUGUGGCAGCAGGACCAGGGC